rnacentral:tRNA from 1 species
CGCUCAGCUGGCCAGAGCGUCCCGCGCCACGUGCGGGAAGGUCACCGGUUCGACUCCGGUAUUCUCCA